CCUACGGGUGGCUGCAGUGGGGAAUAUUGGACAAUGGGCGAAAGCCUGAUCCAGCCAUGCCGCGUGUGUGAAGAAGGCCUUCGGGUUGUAAAGCACUUUCAGUGGGGAAGAAAGCCUUGGGGCUAAUACCCUCGAGGAAGGACAUCACCCACAGAAGAAGCACCGGCUAACUCCGUGCCAGCAGCCGCGGUAAUACGGAGGGUGCGAGCGUUAAUCGGAAUUACUGGGCGUAAAGCGCGCGUAGGCGGUCUGAUAAGCCGGUUGUGAAAGCCCCGGGCUCAACCUGGGAACGGCAUCCGGAACUGUCAGGCUAGAGUGCAGGAGAGGAAGGUAGAAUUCCCGGUGUAGCGGUGAAAUGCGUAGAGAUCGGGAGGAAUACCAGUGGCGAAGGCGGCCUUCUGGACUGACACUGACGCUGAGGUGCGAAAGCGUGGGUAGCAAACAGGAUUAGAUACCCUUUGUAGUC
rnacentral:rRNA from 1 species